UACGUAGGGUGCAAGCGUUAAUCGGAAUUACUGGGCGUAAAGCGUGCGCAGGCGGUGAUGUAAGACAGAUGUGAAAUCCCCGGGCUCAUCCUGGGAACUGCAUUUGUGACUGCAUCGCUGGAGUGCGGCAGAGGGGGAUGGAAUUCCGCGUGUAGCAGUGAAAUGCGUAGAUAUGCGGAGGAACACCGAUGGCGAAGGCAAUCCCCUGGGCCUGCACUGACGCUCAUGCACGAAAGCGUGGGGAGCAAACAGG
rnacentral:rRNA from 1 species